UGAAAUACGGUAAUUGUAUACAUUUCUGCCUGUCCCUAAAGCAUCAUGGAUUUAUACUAUAGUAUUGGGGCGGUAAUGCAAGAUAUUGGAUGCCAACCACUGAUAACGUCCACUGAAGAAUAAAAAUUUCGUCUUUACAUAUAUAUUCCGGACUCAGAGUGCCCUUCCGACGGAACGAAAUGUCGACUCCCGGAACACUUAAAACAAAGUAACUGUACUACUGUAGCCAACACACUUCUUGUCUAAGACAAGUUGUCUGAUGAAGAAACAAUAGUUUCCACAACGGAUCCGGUAAGUCUGGUUCUUUUAACAGUGUAGGCCUGCUGUUGCAAUAUAAAAUGUAUAGGCCUAUGUAACAGGUGUAAAAUAUACGUUGUGUAUUUCACCGAAAAUCCCUCAUAUUUUUUUUAAUGUUAUUUUGGGAUAUAUUACAUUACUUUCAAGAGUGAACUAUUUUAUUGUAAUUAUUUCCGAAAUUGUGUCAAUGCUGUGAUGUCAUCAACGGAGCCAUUAUUUUACUCCUCAGUUUUCUCAGAGCCUGAUGAGGAGAGGUAUGUAUGUGUUAUGUAUGCUCCGGUCUUUUGAAUGCACAUGUUCACAAAUGCACAAGAAGAGACAAGCAAAGGUUCUAUCGUCACUGAUUUAGUGUUGCAUUGCUGUUUAUAUGAAUAUAUAUUAAUGUGAAUGGGGAUAAUAUUCGAGUGCAACUUUGCAAGGCUAGCCCAGCUACCGUUAGCUUUGUUGCGGGAGAGGAUCUCUUUCAGGUGCAGACAUCUUGAGUUUUCUGAUGAUUUUCUCACGGGCAUUCUGUAAUGUCUUUUGUCUUUUACCAGGCAAAUAUACUUGUAUGGGAGUCCAGACGGCAGCAUUAACCUUUGCAUUGUAUUUGUAUCCAUUCCUUGCAGGUAUGUUGUAAAAUGUGACGAUUUUCUAUUUCAUGUUUAAUGUGCCUAGUUAGCUGUCGUUCUUUUUUUUUUUUAGCUGUCCGGUCAUGUAAAAAAUGGCUUGUUGCUUCAUUAGUAUGCCUCAGGUAUAAUGGUACAAUAGUACUCUAAGAAAUAUUUAGCACUCAUUAGCAAAUUAUUAUUGUAUUGGUGUACAACAUUUUUAAAAUUACAUAUUUUUUUGUUGAUGCUUUUACUAAUGAGUUUGCUCAGAGCGUGAUGAGGAGAGGCAAAUAUACUUGUAUGGGAGUCCAGACGGCAGCAUUAACUUUUGCCUUGUAUUUGUAUCCAUUCCAUGCAGUCAUUACUAGAGGGACAACCUGCAGAAUUGUGUCCAGAGCCUUGUGUUCCACCUACACCUUACCAGAACACAAUGCAGAAAGGUACCGGUACAGAACCGGUUACAUUGGUGCCGUGACCCAGAUCAACGUGGAUCAUUAUGAAUCGCCAUUGAUCAACACCAGCUUGGUCGCCGGGAGUUGCUAUGCUAUAAAUAGGUUGGAAGGGAAAUCUCUUAAACACACAAAAAAAUUGCUAAUGGUUUGUUUGGUAUAUCUCUUAGAUUAACUGAUACAUUUGAAAUUGUUGUUACAUAUAUUCCAUUUUAUUUGUGUAUUUUGAUAGUGAAUAUGACUUAAAGUUGAAGUCGGAAGUUUACGUACACUUAGGUUGGAGUCAUUAAAACUCAUCUUUCAACCGAUCAACACAUUUCUUGUUAACAAACUAUAGUUUUGGCAAGUCUGUUAGAACAUCUACUUUGUGCAUGACAAGUCAUUUUUCCAACAAUUGUUUAGACAUAUUAUUUCACUUAUAAUUCACUGUAUCACAAUUCCAGUGGGUCGGAUGUUUACAUACACUGAGUUGACUGCCUUUAAACAGUUUGGAAAGUUCCAGAAAAUGAUGCAUGGCUUUAGAAGCUUCUGAUAGGCUAAUUGACAUAAUUUGAGUCAAUUGGAGGUGUAGCUGUGGAUGUAUUUCAAGGCCUACCUUCAAACUCAGUGCCUCUUUCCUUGACAUCAUGGGAAAAUCAAAAGAAAUCAGCCAAGACCUCAGGAAAAUAAUUGUAGACCUCCACAAGUCUGGUUCAUCCUUGGGAGCAAUUUCCGAAUGCCUUAAGGUACCACGUUCAUCUGUACAAACAAUAGUAUUCAAGUAUAAACACCAUGGGACUACACAGCCGUCAUACCGCUGUGGAAGGAGACUCGUUCUGUCUCCUAGAGAUGAACGUACUUUGGUGCAAAAAGUGCAAAUCAAUCCCAGAACAACAGCAAAGGACCUUGUGAAGAUGCUGGAGGAAACAGGUACAAAAGUAUCUAUAUCCACAAUAAAACGAGUCCUAUAUCGACACAACCUGAAAGGCCGCUCAGCAAAGAAGAAGCCACUGCUCCAAAAAUGCCAUUAAAAAAGCCAGACUACAGUUUGCAACUGCACAUGGGGACAAAGAUUGUACUUUUUGGAGAAAUGUCCUCUGGUCUAAUGAAACAAAAAUAGAACUGUUGGCCAUAAUGACCAUCAUUAUGUUUGGAGGAAAAAGGGGGAGGCUUGCAAGCCAGAGGACACCAUCCCAACCGUGAAGCACAGGGGUAGCAGCAUCAUGUUGUGGGGGUGCUUUGCUGCAGGAGGGACUGGUGCACUUCUCAAAAUAGAUGGCAUCAUGAUGAGGAAAAUUAUGUGGAUAUAUUGAAGCAACAUCUCAAGACAUCAGUCAGGAAGUUAAAGCUUUGUUGCAAAUGGGUCUUCCAAAUGGACAAUGACCCCAAGUAUACUUCCAAAGUUGUGGCAAAAUGGCAUAAGGACAACAAAGUCAAGGAAUUGGAGUGGCCAUCACAAAGCCCUGAACUCAACCCUAUAGAAAAUUUGUGGGCAGAACUGAAAAAGUGUGUGUGAGCAAGGAGGCCUACAAACCUGACUCAGUUACACCAGCUCUGUCAGGAGGAAUGGGCCAAAAUUCACCCAACUUAUUGUGGGAAGCUUGUGGAAGGCUACCCAAAAUGUUUGGCCCAAGUUAAACAAUUUAAAGGCAACCCUACCAAAUACUAAUUGAGUGUACGUAAACUUCUGACCCACUGGGUAUGUGAUGAAAGAAAAAAGCUGAAAUAAAUCACUACCAUUAUUCUGACAUUUCACAUUCUUAAAAUAAAGUGGUGAUCCUAACUGACCAAAGACAGGGAUUUUUACUUGGAUUAAAUGUCAGGAAAUGUGAAACUGAGUUUAAAUGUAUUUUGCUAAAGGUGUAUGUAAACUUCCGACUUCAACUGUAUAUUGUUGAUAAAGGAGACCGUGUUUUCAGUGAUGAGCUUCAACUGGGUCUUGGGAGAGGGAGGUUUUUCAGGGAGUUGACUCAGACCCCAGCUAGAACUAUAGAUGUUGUCGAUUCACCACAUUUUUGCUCUACUCGGGUGGCUAACGACACACCCUCAGCUCCUGUAAUUGUGCUUAGUGACACUCAGAUAGUUCAGAGGUGGCCAGUCCUGACUUGGGAAAUCUUAUCACACAACUCGCCCAUCAGAUAGGACAGUCUAUAUCAGCUCAAAUUAGGAAGGAAGGUGAGAGGAAGGAGGAUAGAGGCGCAAAUUCUCAGAGCUCCAGUGCAAGACAGACAUUCACUGACACACCCCUUAAUUUAUCUUGUAUGAAGUUGGUCGUGCAGUCUGACGUGAGAGAGACUCCAUGUUUCAGAGGGGAGGGGUCUGACAAGUACACAGUACAUGAAUGGGAGGAGCUCAUGGAUGCUUACCUGAGAAAGAGGGGCAUGCCGGUCAUAGAACAGUCACAGGAGAACAUGUCCAAGCUUCUGGGGAGAGCUAGAGACAUCGUACAGAUAAAACUCCGCAGCAAUACAUCUCUGAAACCUCACGAGAACCCCAAAGUGAUAGAUAUACGGAAAUAACUUUUCAGUGAGUCGACAUAUUCAUCCAUGCCUCUUGACGAUUUCUUUUUAUAACACUUCACAAGUACUAUAUGAGAACCCCAUGGAGUACUGGAUCCGUUUGAACAAGGCAGUAGAUGUGGCCAAGGAGUGUUUGAGGAGGCAGGGUCGGCGCAUCGAGUACUCCAGCUGAGAGGUAACGAUGAUGUUUGUGAAACACGGCCCAGAUCCUUCUCUUUCUGCGGUUUUCAAGUUCAAAACAGCUGAUAGGUGGACGGCAGCUGAGAUACAAAAAUGAUUUUCUCACAGGCAUUCUGCACGGUCUAUUAUCAGGCAAAUAUACUUGUAUGGGAGUCCAGACGGCAGCAUUAACUUUUGCCCUGUAUCUGUUCCGUGCAGGUAUGUUGUGAAAUGUGACGAUUUUGUAUUUCAUGUUUAAUGUUCCUAGUUAGCUGUCGUUCUCUUUGUUACCUGUCCGGUCAUCAAAUCAAAUGUAUUUAUAAAGCCCUUCUUACAUCAGCUGAUAUCUCAAAGUGCUGUACAGAAACCCAGCCUAAAACCCCAAACAGCAAGCAAUGCAGGUGUAGAAGCACGGUGGCUAGGGAAAACUCCCUAGAAAGGCCAAAACCUAGGAAGAAACCUAGAGAGGAACCAGUCCUCUUCUGGCUGUGCCGAGUGGAGAUUAUAACAGAAAAUGGCCAAGGUCAUGUCAAAAAUGGCGUUGUUGCUUCAUUAGUAUGCCUCAGGUAUAAUGGUACAAUAGUACACUAAGAAAUAUUUAGCACUUAUUAGCAAAUUAUUAUUGUAUUGGUGUACAACAUUUAUAAAAUGAAAUCUGAGUCUUUUGUACAUGUUCAUAUUUUCAAUGUAUUUUUUUGUUGUUGAUGCUUUUACUAAUGAGUUUGCUCAGCGCGUGAUGAGGAGAGGCAAAUAUACUUGUAUGGGAGUCCAGACGGCAGCAGGAACUUUCACCUUGUAUUUGUAUCCAUUCCAUGCAGUCAUUAAAAGAGACACAACCGACAGAAUUGUGUCCAGAGCCUUGUCUUCCACCUACACCUUACCAGAACACAACGCAGAAAGGUACCGGUACAGAACCGGUUACACCUAGUUUUCAUAGUCUUUGAUCCACCACUUUCCUGUGGACUUAAUGGCUGGACAAAAAAAAACAUGACGGUAAAACUUGUUGGGAUUUUUCUUCCUUCAGCAAAGUAACCUACUACUUGAUCAUGUAUAGGAAUCUGUGUCUCUUAAUUAAUUAUCUCUCCUUCCUCUUAGUGUGUACUUAUUCACCUCCACUGAUUUGAAAGUCAGAUUACCCAUUACAUUACCAGAUACUCACUCUAACGAUGAAAAGACAUCUUCUGUGGGGUUUAUCAGUGUUUGGCAUCCAACGUUAUGGUGCAUUAAGCCAUCUCCUUUACUGGAGUGUGGGCCAGCGACAGGGAUCAAGGAACUAAAUCCUAUCUGCCUGCCCCGUUUCUCUUAAAAAAAAUAGAAAUAUUUGCGACUGUAUCUAACGAUGUUCUACUCAGUAUGCUUUGUUAGAGGUUCACCCAGGGGUCAUGAUUGGGGCUGUACCAAAUGAUUGAUGUAUUAGAAUAAUUGAUUUUGCUUAUGUUGUUCUAAUAGAAGGGGAGGGGUUAUAAGACCUCUCCCUCCUUACAUUUAUAGGGUCCUAGACUACAGAUUAACAAUAUAUAUACACAUUAUGAGGUUUAAUAUUGUUCCACAGUACUUUUCUAGGCUUUCUGCCUCUUAUGAAGAAACCGUCUGAGAAAUGUGUGACUGUGAAGACAGAACUCUGCAGGGGAGUAUAAGAGAUAGGAGGCCCGUCAGACAUUCCACUAUAAAUCAACUUGGACAUUUACUGCUAGCUUUUAAAUAACACUAAAAGUCUUGUUUGUGUAGCUGUGUAGGCAUGGUUUUGAUCUCAUGAGUAAAAGAUAAUGGUGUAGGCAGUGACAUCACUAGGGCUGGACUUCGCGUUUGAUAAAAUAACAUGGGACCUUUUCUUUGAUGCAGAACUUACUCGGAAACAUGCGUUAUGUUCCUGUUGUCAACUUCUGUCUGCAAUUCCAUUAAUAAAGGUUUUUGAAUGAUUUAAUUAAA